ACUCAAAGGAAUAGACGGGGGCUCACACAAGCGGUGGAGCAUGUGGCUCAAUUCGAGGCUACGCGAAGAACCUUAUCCUGGGCUUGACAUGUGCGAAAGCGUGAGGGGGUAGUCUCUUGGAAACUUGAGAUGAAGGUAUCCAAUCCUGAACCUCAUACAGGUGCUGCAUGGCUGUCGUCAGCUCGUGUCGUGAGAUGUCGGGUUAAGUCCCAUAACGAGCGAAACCCUUGUUUCCAGUUGCCAGCGAGUAAUGUCGGGGACUCUGGAAAGACUGCCGGUGUUAAACCGGAGGAAGGCGGGGAUGACGUCAAGUCCUCAUGGCCUUUAUGCCCAGGGCUGCACACGUGCUACAAUGCCGCGAACAAAGGGAAGCCAACUCGCAAGAGGGAGCAAAUCCCAAAAAACGCGGCCCAGUUCAGAUCGUAGGCUGCAACUCGCCUACGUGAAGUUGGAAUCGCUAGUAAUCGCAGGUCAGCAACACUGCGGUGAAUGUGUUCCUGAGCCUUGCACACACCGCCCGU
rnacentral:rRNA from 1 species